rnacentral:tRNA from 1 species
GUCUCUGUGGCACAAUUGGUUAGCGCGUUCGGCUGUUAACCGAAAGGAUGGUGGUUCAAGCGAAAGGAUGGUGGUUCCACCCAGGGACG